CCAAUAGCGUAUAUUAAAGUUGUUGCAGUUAAAAAGCUCGUAGUUGAAUUUCGGAAUCGACGGAUUGGUCGCGCCUUCGGUGUGUACUGGUCUUGCCGGUUUCUCCCUUCUGACGAACCACGAUGUCAUUAAUUUGGUGUCGUGGGGAAUCAGGACUGUUACUUUGAAAAAAUUAGAGUGUUUAAAGCAUGCAUUAGCUUGAAUACAUUAGCAUGGAAUAAUGAAAUAGGACGUUUGAUCUUAUUUUGUUGGUUUCUAGGAUCGACGUAAUGAUUAAUAGGGAUAGUUGGGGGCAUUAGUAUUCAAUUGUCAGAGGUGAAAUUCUUGGAUUUAUUGAAGACUAACUACUGCGAAAGCAUUUGCCAAGGAUGUUUUCAUUAAUCAAGAACGAAAGUUAGGGGAUCGAAGACGAUCAGAUACCGUCGUAGUCUUAACCAUAAACUAUGCCGACUAGGGAUCGGAUGAUGUUAAUUUUUUAAUGACUCAUUCGGCGUCUUACG
rnacentral:rRNA from 1 species